rnacentral:RNase_P_RNA from 1 species
AAUGCAGACCGUCUUAUCGCCCCGGUAACAUCGGGGAGGAAAGUCCGGGCAGCAUAGAGCACCGUACUUCCUAACAGGAAGGACCCUGAUUCAGUCGGGGGACAGCCAGUGCCACAGAAAAUAUACCGCCCCGAUUUGAUCGGGGUAAGGGUGAAAAGGUGAGGUAAGAGCUCACCGCCC